UACGUAGGGUGCGAGCGUUGUCCGGAAUUAUUGGGCGUAAAGGGCUCGUAGGCGGUUUGUCGCGUCGGGAGUGAAAUCCUACGGCUUAACUGUGGGCUUGCUUUCGAUACGGGCAGACUAGAGGUAUGCAGGGGAGAACGGAAUUCCUGGUGUAGCGGUGAAAUGCGCAGAUAUCUGGAGGAACACCGGUGGCGAAGGCGGCAUCCUGGACCGGUAUUGACGCUGAGGCGCGAAAGCCAGGGGAGCAAACGGG
rnacentral:rRNA from 1 species